GACGAACGCUGGCGGCAGGCCUAACACAUGCAAGUCGAGCGAGCGGCGGACGGGUGAGUAAUGAGUGGGGAUCUGCCCGAUAGAGGGGGAUAACUACUGGAAACGGUGGCUAAUACCGCAUACUAUCGGAUGGACCCAUAAGGGAUUAGCUAGUAGGGGGGGUAAAGGCUCACCUAGGGGACGAUCUCUAGCUCGUCGGAGAGGAUGACCAGCCACACUGGAACUGCGACACGGCCCAGACUCCUACGUGAGGCAGCAGUGGGGAAUAUUGUACAAUUGGCGCAAGCCUGAUUCAGCCAUGCCGUGUGUAUGAAGCAGGCCUGAGGGUUGUAAAGUACUUUCAGCGAGGAGGCGUUACCCGCAGAAGAAGCACCGGCUAACUCCGUGCCAGCAGCCGCGGUAAUAC
rnacentral:rRNA from 1 species